ensembl:misc_RNA Metazoa_SRP Metazoan signal recognition particle RNA
GCUGGGUGUGGUAGCACACGUCUGUAAUCCCUUCCAGGGAGGCACAGGCUGGUGGAUCACUUGCUCCCUGGCCUUUUGAGCCGCAAUAAGGAGCAUGUAGACCAGGUGUCCAUUCUAAAUCUGACACCGACACCAUGAGCCCCUGGGAGCUGGGGACCAUGAAGCCGCCUAAGGAGGAGAAAACUGGUCCAGGUCAGAAACAGAACAGGUCAGCAAAACUCCCAUCUCAAUCAGCACAGGGAUCAGGCACUGAAUGGCCCUUGUAAUUCUAGCCUGGAGGAGAUAGGGAGGCACUGUCUCAA